UAAAGCUUUAUGACAGCGCAGGUCCCUGGUACCGUGACCCUUGUGCCCCUGUCUCCUGUGGCUCUGUCCCUUGUCUUGGUUCAUUCUGACCUCACCAGGGUGAUGGCAUUGGAGUGGGGCCUGCGGGCUAAGGAUUUGAACACAAGCAAAUGAAUGAUGAAAAUCCACUUUCUGGUGCUCUUUGCGCUUCAGGACACAGACUCGUCUAUCCUAUAGGUACCCUCCUCUCUCCUGGCUCCCUACCUCCUAGACGAGGAUGCCACGGUUUAUCCAACCUCUUGGUGUCUGUUCAGUUCUUCUCAACUUGGUCAUGAAGUAAUAAUUCACUCUUGAGCAGCUGGAAAAUGCAUUCCUUGGUCAGUAAUGUAAGGCACAGAAAUUAUGCCUUUGUGGUCAAUAGCAGGUGAGCAACUCUGGCCCCUUGUGGAGUCAGAUGGACAAGAAUGCAAACAGCCAAACAGAUGGAUAAUUUCAGCACCUUGUGGUCCCUUGGGGUUGUACGGCUGGAAGACAUUUUCAGCCUCACGUAAUAAAAAUGAUGGACAGUCACUCAGCCUGCAUGGAAUUGUAUCCUGUCAUCUUUACUCAGAAAAAUCUCCCUCUGAAGUCAGUGGGGUUUUUAGGCUGAGGAUUGGCCAUAGAAUAUGCCCCUUUUAGUAAAGGCAAUGGAAUUAAGGUUUAGCUGAG
ensembl:lncRNA